UUAAGUUCAGCGGGUAGUCCUACCUGAUUUGAGGUCAAAAUUGUCAUUUAUGUUGUCCAGAACGGACGGUUAGAAGCAGCAUAACCCCCUUCGAAAAGCGUGGUCGCCUAACAGCAUAGAUAAAUUAUCACACUGAUAGUCGGGUCCACCAGGGCACCGCUAAUGUAUUUCAGAGGAGCCGACUUUGUUAGAAGCCAGCA
rnacentral:misc_RNA from 1 species